UUCUCCGUCCCUACGUCCUUCUCCCGCCGUUGACAUCUGCCGCCGCAAAAUGCCUCCGCCCCUCCCUGAGUCGCUGCAGCGCCGCCAGCCACCUCCGCCCCUCCCUGAAUCGCCGCAGUGCCGCCAGCAGCCUCUACCCCUCCCUGCGUCGCCGCCAGCCGCCACCGCCCUCCCUGAGUCGCGAUCCGUUGGCUGGGUAGGCAUCGUUCUAGCGAGGCGCUACACAGGUGGAAUCCAGCGGUUGCGAGUCGUGAUCCGAUGGCUGGGCAGGCGUCGUUCCGGGGAGGUGCUGCACAGGUGGAAUCGAAGAGUUUUUACAGGUGGCCAUGCCAUUGGUACGGACCAACCAUGCCCUUGAGAAUUUCAUCCAUCAUGUUGUAUAGCAGUAGCUUUUUUAUGCUUUUGGGUCUUAUUCUUAAUUUCUGAUCAAACAAAUCAAUCCAAAACAUAAAAUAGCCCCAGCUUCCACUUCAAAUAACAAAGAUUUACUUCCUGUAUUGAUGAAUGGUCACCAAUUAUUUACUUCCUGUUGAAGAAAGGCUACCAGCUAUCAAGACAAAUGCUACAGAUAGUGAGUUCUGCACCAUGUCUGAAAUCAGAAAUGCAGUAGCAUUUUAAUCUCUAAAUGUUUUCAGGCAUAAUCUGAAUCAUUCUUGGUUGCUUUCCAAAUUAUACCCUGUAUGCUAAAACAUGUCAGCUUAGCCUGUUCAAUACUGUGCCAAACUUGUUCUAUGGUGCCUGUCGCAUUGUGCAUGAUCCUUUUCUGAAAUUCGCACGAUUCGAUGGCAAGCCUGUAGCUAAAACAGGUUAUGGUCUCAAUGGGGAGUGAAUGGCAGUUUCAAAUAUUGAAUGCUCAGUGGGUGCAUUGGUUGUGCUUGUGCACGAUUUUGGUUUCUUCCAACUGCAGUCAAAAGUAGCCUGACAAACAGUCUUGGACGAAGUACUUCAGGAAUAUGGUCCAGCCGUCCAGGCAUGGGGAUGAUUUGAUUGAUUCAAAAGUCACUUCCUUUUUAUACUGAUGAAGAAUGAACACAGGCAAGGAAUAGAUUUCCGUCCUUUUGCAACCAGCACGCAACCGGCACCCAUGUUUGUUUCAAAAAUAGUUGAGAGUUAAAUUCUCUAAAAAAUUCCUACUGAAAAUAUUAUUUUGCAUAUCUCCCCUACAAAAUAGUGCAUUUCUGAAUUGGAGUUAAACUAUAAUGCUUUGGUUGAGGUAAUUGGAGUGUUUACGGGAUCUCCUUUUCAGCUUUCGCCUAAGAGAAUCACUGUCUCUACUGUCUUGAGGUGGCCACGAUCACUGUCGGCACCCACUGGGAAGGACCAUCACAUAAAUAUGAGUUAGCCUAUUACCUCUGUGGUGAUCAAGCACAUGCUGCGACGAGCCAUCAGAUCGACCUGAGUAAGCCUAUUACCUCCGUGGUGGUCAACUAUAGAGAAUGGUUGAUAGCAUGUCUCUUUGUGGUGUUUUUUUUCAUAUUCUUUGUUACAUGGACAGCAAUGUUAUUCUUGUACUGAGUGUUUCUUGUACUGAGUGUUCAUUGUAAAAAAACUGAUGGUAUUGGAGUGCUUUGCUUGUGUCUACUAAAAUUUCGCUGAGUGUUUAUUGUAAAAAAAACUGAUAGUAUUGGAGUGCUUUGCUUAUGUCUACUCAAAUUUCACACUUGUGAAUUACUGAUAGUAUCGCAGUCAUGUUUUCUUUUGAAAUUGCACAUUAUUGUGAAUCACCGAAAGUUUCAUGCUUCUUAAAAGAGAAUAUAUCAACUGAAUGAAGUGGCAUCUUUGUUCUUGCAAAAUUCUGCUAACAUCUAGAGAUCACAUGUAAUGACACUCACUACAGUUCUUCAGUUUCACAGUUUCUGAUUAAUUUGGCAAAAUGCUUGUGAUGUCAAUUGAUUAAAGUUCUCCUCACUAUGUUUUACUGACAGCGCACUAUCUAGAUUUGUUUAGUUCAAGAACUAUAUUCUUAAAUUAAUUAUUUUUGUUUGGUAUGUUCGUGCUUGCCUCACUUUUAUUAUUGUCGAAUGCUCUAUAUAUUGCACUAUAAAUUUUAUUGCAAGAUUCUUUGGUGUUCACCUGUCACAUUGGUUAGCACGGUAGGCAUACAUCUGUCAAAUGUUUCUUUUGUUGUUCUUAUUGACAGGGUUAUACCCAGUUCUCUUUAUAAGAAAGGGGAAUCAUUCAUGUUUGCCAUAUGCUACUGUAAGGUCGCUUUUAAUCUUUUCUGGAAGUUUCUUUUGGUUGCUUUCUGUUUCAGAGUUCUGAACUUUCAACUUGAUAUACAUAUGCCAGACAUGCAAAUGAUUUGGCUUAUGCACAUGCCAGUGAACCGAGUACCACAGAUGCAUACAGAAAUCUUUUCCAGUUCAUGUUACUGGACUACCCUUUCUUUGUUUGUAUUUUCAGUUUUGGAAAAGGUGGAAAUGGCAAUCACUCAGUAUGGAGUGCAUGUUUGAUAAUGCAACCUUUCUAGGCACAUAAGGGGUCAUGCAUUAAACUUGCAAGAGUAUGGUCCAGGCUUGCAGUCAAAAGUGGCCUGACAGACAGUCUUGGACAAAGUACUUCAGGAAUAUGGUCCAGCCGUCCAGGCAUGGGUGAGUUUACUUAUUAGUUUUAGUAGCAUCAAGUAUAUAUCUCAAUAUGAUAUUUUUGUCUGACUCACGCUUUUUUUCUUAGGGAUGAUUUGAUUGAUAUUAGUUUUAGAAUGCAUUAAACUUGCAUUCUAUUGAAAACUUACAUAGCUCAUCAGUUCAUGUUUAGAAUUUUCUCCUAAGGCAUUAAGGAGAACCACGAGUUUCAAUACUAGAUCCUGACUCAUAGAAUACUAAAUCUGUCGAGAUCACAAAUUAAAGGAGCGCAUUGACCACAGAUUUCUACUUACAUACAUCUUGCUCAGUUUCUUACGUAUGAGUCCUGGUCCUUCGCCCGGCCGCCGGCAACCCUUCCGGCGCCGCCGGCGCCUGUCCUGGUCCUCCGCAUGGCGGCCGGCACCCCCAAUACGCUGCAGCAACUCCCAGUUGCCGCCCGUACGUCGUCUCCCUUUUGCCACAUGUCACAUGUCCUGAGGUUGUACACAUAUAUUAGAUGAGAGCCGCUUGAUGACUCAGGUUAGCAAAUCUUUUGGGCACCAGUUUGGUAGCUGGUUGUUCAUCAGCCCUAAAGCACACGCUGCAUUAGACGCUUGCAGACAAGGCUUCAGAAGAGCAACUGUUUUUUGAACAAGCUAGGAGCGUGAGGGGAAACUCAGCCUGUUCUUGAUCAUCUCAUAUGAAGAGAGUUUUGGAGAAGACUGGCUGUUGAUUUGUAGCACACCAAGUUGAACAAUCCUAUUCAUCUGCUCAGGAAAAGUGGUCUGAUAUCUGAAGUCACAAUUACAUUGAAGAUGACAUCCAUGCAUCUCUGAUCUAUCAAAGAAUCAUGGAUACAAGUUGGUGGAUGAUGCGUGCAUUAGAAACAAAAUCUCGCUAAUUGAUAAAGUAAUUGCCUUCUACGAGGUGUCGUCUAACCAUUUUGCGGGAAGGAUCUCGUGGGCAAGGAGAGUUGUGAACACGAUGAAGGAGGUGCACGCUCGAUUCCAUUUGAGUAGUUCGGAGUUGAGGCGCUCUCGGGAAUCUCCGGUCCCGAGCCGUAUUAUCUACUCAAUGUCUAUGGACUCGGUAUGUUAGCCGGAAAGGACUCAUGAGGAAUACGAAGAAACAUCGGUCAGGAUCUAGGUUCUAAUAUCGGAAUAUAAAAUCGUCCUGAAGACAACAGAAAUUCCAAGCCUACAACAUGCUGAAGGACCGAGCCUUCGAGCAUACAAAGUCUAUGACCAAGACUUGCUCGUAAGCUCUGGCAUUCUUGAUGAGUUCUAGGAGAUCUUCACCCACGUUGGGUGGGACAACUUUUGGGUAAUCAAAGAACAAGUCAACGCCCUCCUAAAGGACAUAUUCAGUGGAGCAGUGCUACACACAUUGGCGACUGUGUCAUGUUUCUUUCUAGCUAUGUUAUACAGAGAUGGGUAUCUUUUCAUUAAGGUUUCCUCUCCAACCCAUUCAUCUUCCCAUAAUCUUAUUUGCUUCCCAUUAUUUACUUCAAACCUACCCAUGGCUAGAAUUGCUCCUUUAUAUCCAUAAGGCUAGACCAAAACUGUGAGUCUCCUGGCUUUUUUGACACUUGGGUUAGUGUAUGUUUUGACAGAUAUUUCCUCCUCAACAAACUUUGCCACAAUUCCUCCUCAUUUAGAAGUUUAAAUAGCCAUUUGCCUAACAAACAUCUAUUUUGGACUUCUAAACUAGAUAUACCCAGUCCACCCAUAUUCUUUGGGACACAGAGGAUGCUCCAUUUAGCUAAUUUGUACUUUUUCUUAUGCUCAUCACACUACCAAAAGAAUCUAGAUCUAUAAUAGUCCACUCUUCUAAGAACUCCUUUAGUAAUUCUAAAAACGGACAUCAUAUACAUUGGCAGACUAGAUAAGAUAGAGUUUAUAAGCACUAACCUCCCUCCAACAGACAACAUUUUGCUUUUCCAACUCCCUGAAACCUUUCUUCAAUCCCCUUCCAAUCUUUAUUAUUGAGUUUUUUAGGGUUCAUGGGGAUGCCAAGAUAUUUAAAUGGUAGAGAUCCUUCAUGGCAGCCAAAAAUCUGCACAUAUUCUCCUACUUUCUCCUUUGCCUUCCCAAAACAAAACAGCUCACUUUUAUGGAAGUUGAUUUUAAGGCCUGAGAGCUUUUCAAAUGUACAUAGUACAAGCUUCAAGUUUUUAGCCUGUUCUAGAUCAUUUUCCAAAAAAAGUAUUGUAUCAUCUGCAUAUUGGAGAAUUGAUAAUCCUCCAUCUACCAGAUGUGGCACUAGGCCCCUAAUUUGACCACUAUCUCUAGCCCUUGAAAUAAGGAUAGCUAACAUAUCUGCUACCACAUUAAACAGGACUGGAGAUAAAGGAUCCCCCUGUCUCAAUCCUUUUUUUGUUUGAAAGAAUUGCCCCAUGUCAUCAUCGACUUUAACCCCCACACUUCCCCCACUCACUAUGGUUUCAAUCCACUUACACCAUUUUGAAGAGAACCCCUUCAUUCUUAGAGCCUGUUGCAAAAAAUUCCAAUUGACUUGUCAUAUGCUUUCUCAAAAUCUAGUUUGAGAAUAAUUCCACUAUGUUUUUUCCUGUGCAGCUCAUGGAGAAUUUCAUGUAAAAUUACCACCCCCCUCCAUAAUGUACCUUCUAGGUAGAAAAGCUGCUUGUGAAGGUCUAAUGAUUUUAUUGGCCACCAUGCUCAAUCUAUUACCUAUCACGUUUAAUGAAAAUUUUGAAGCUAACAUUUAGGAUACAAAUUGGCCUAUACUGUUGAAUCAUUUUGACCUCCUUAAGUUUUGGGAUUAAGGUUUGGAUCCCAAAGUUUAAGUUAUGUAGAGGGAGCAUGCAGUUAUGGAAAUCUUUAAACAUGGCCAUUAGGUCAUCCUUAGUAAGACUCCAAAAAACUUGGUAGAAUUCUGCUGUAAAUCCAUCAGGUCCCGGUGCUCUAUUGUCGUUCAUCUGAAAAAUGGCAUCUGUCACUUCCUUUUCAGUAAAACCAUCAAUUACUGCCUCAUUUUCCUCUCUGGACACUUGAGGUAUAUCCUCUGUCAUGGAUUCAUCCAUAGAGCAGAUAUUUCUCUUUUGAGCACCAAAAAGGCAUUUAUAAAACUUUGUUAUGUAUCUUUUCAGAUUCUCCUCCCCUUCAAUAAUCCCCUCUUCUUGCUCCAGCCUGAAGAUUCUAGUUUUUCUGUGUUUGCCAUUUGCUAUCAUAUGGAAAUAUUUGGUAUUGUUGUCCUCCUUCAACAUCCUAGUGAUUUUUUCUCUUUGAAACCAUUUUAUUUCUUCUUCUCUCAUAAGCUUUACUGUCUAUCCUUGAUGCAUUGCUUUAAAUCAGUCUCUUUCUGACUUAGCAGUUGUGAUUCUGCCUUUUUAUCUAGCUCAUUUGCAUUUUUAAGAAGCUCUUAUUUCUCUUUUUUAUAUGUGAAAGGUCCUUGUUUGGUUUUGGUAAUUGAGUGAUAACCUAGGUGGACUAAUA